GUAAAAACUGCUGUUUUCGAAAGUGAAAGCGAUUUAUGGUUUGUAUUCACCGAUGUCAUCAUCCCCCGCGACAAAGGAGAGGAGACCAAGAGGCUGUAUCCCAGAGGCGGAAAGGUUAAGGGUCCAACGUCCAACGCUUUCAUUACAGGAGGGGGAAAAGCUUUGGACACUGAGACUUGCGUUUCAACUAGCCAGCGAGCUCUUCCAACAAAACCUAACACUUGUGAAAUGGAAUUCCAUCAAACUCAGGGAUCUCCAAGACCUUCUUGCUCGACAAAAUAUGACCUAUUCGGAAUGUGUGAGAGACAUGAGUGUGCAUCUAAACCUUCCAAUUAAGAACUACUUCAAAAGGCUGGACGACUUUCUUUUACAUGAGCGUUUCAGCGCGUGCUCAUGGGAGGUCGUGAGAGCUGAAAUGGGGAGCAUCAUUUCACAAGUAAUCAAAAAUGCCAAGAAACACGUGUGAGAGUAGCAUUACUUUUAGUUCAAUUCUGCAUUAAAAUGUAAUUUUGUUUAAUAUAUUAAGUAUGCCACUGUAACCUUUAUAUAUUUAUGUUAUUUAUCCGUGUUGCAAAUAAUUGCCUUGUACUCGAUAAUAUUUAAAUAAAAAGACAAACACGC
rnacentral:lncRNA from 1 species